rnacentral:rRNA from 1 species
CAAUAGCGUAUAUUAAAGUUGUUGCGGUUAAAAAGCUCGUAGUUGGAUUUCUGCUGAGAACGACCGGUCCGCCCUUUGGGUGUGUAUCUGGCUCUUUCUUGGCAUCUUCUUGGUGAACGUUGCUGCACUUGACUGUGUGGAGCGCUACCCAGGACUUUUACUUUGAGGAAGUUAGAGUGUUUCAAGCAGGCAUACGCCUUGAAUACAUUAGCAUGGAAUAAUAAGAUAGGACCUCGGUUCUAUUUUGUUGGUUUCUAGAGCUGAGGUAAUGAUUAAUAGGGAUAGUUGGGGACAUUCGUAUUUAACCGUCAGAGGUGAAAUUCUUGGAUUUGUUAAAGACGGACUACUGCGAAAGCAUUUGCCAAGGAUGUUUNCAUUGA